rnacentral:tRNA from 1 species
GGCAACUUGGCCGAGCGGUUAUGGCGCCAGUUUCAGGUACUGGUUCGAGAGAGCGUGGGUUCGAGUCCCACAGUUGUCA